GCUCGACUUUCACUUUUAAAGGCAUGUUUGUUUCACUGCAAUUGGACUUUGGGUUGAAAUGGAGUUCGGUGAAAACUACUUCUUUUCUGCUGUUUGUUUCGUAGUUAUGGAAGUGAAGUUUCGUUAGUUUUGCUGUUUGUUUGGUAGGAAGUGUAUGGUGUAAAACUAUAAUUUAUAUAUAAAUAAUAAAUAUUUUGAUAAAUAAAAAUAAUAUAAUUAUAUUUUUUUAUAAUUAAAAUUUAAUUUAAAACAACUAAAUUAUUUUUUUAUACAUAAAUUAUAGUAAUACAACAAUAAAAUUAUAAAGUAAAAAAAAAUGUUAAUGCUUAAUUAAUCAAUUUUUAUAAUGUUUUAAAUGUACAAACUAAAUAAAGAAGAUAUUAAAACUUAACUAAUCAAGUUUUAUCAUAUUUUAGAUAUAUUAACUAAAUAAAAAAUAAUUAAUAACAUAAUUAAAUAUAUUUAAAUAAAACUAUCUUUAUCUAUAAUAUUUUAUUAUUUUUUCUUCGCCUCUCUUCACCGAUGGGACGAAGUCAAUUACACCGUUUGAGGUUAACUCGAAUUUCGACGGUAAUUUUUUGUGGCGACCCAAACAAUGAAAGUGGUCGUUU
rnacentral:lncRNA from 1 species